UGCGUAGGUGGUAUGGCAAGUCAGAAGUGAAAACCCAGGGCUUAACUCUGGGACUGCUUUUGAAACUGUCAGACUAGAGUGCAGGAGAGGUAAGCGGAAUUCCUAGUGUAGCGGUGAAAUGCGUAGAUAUUAGGAGGAACAUCAGUGGCGAAGGCGGCUUACUGGACUGAAACUGACACUGAGGCACGAAAGCGUGGGGAGCAAACA
rnacentral:rRNA from 1 species